rnacentral:rRNA from 1 species
AGCAUAUCAAUAAGCGGAGGAAAAGAAACCAACAGGGAUUGCCCUAGUAACGGCGAGUGAAGCGGCAACAGCUCAAAUUUGAAAUCUGGCGCAAGCCCGAGUUGUAAUUUGUAGAGGAUGUUUCUGGCGACGUGCCUUCCGAGUUCCCUGGAACGGGACGCCAUAGAGGGUGAGAGCCCCGUACGGUUGGAUGCCUAGCCUCUGUGAAACUCCUUCGACGAGUCGAGUAGUUUGGGAAUGCUGCUCUAAAUGGGAGGUAUACGUCUUCUAAAGCUAAAUACCGGCCAGAGACCGAUAGCGCACAAGUAGAGUGAUCGAAAGAUGAAAAGCACUUUGAAAAGAGGGUUAAAAAGUACGUGAAAUUGUUGAAAGGGAAGCGUUCAUGACCAGACUUGGGCAGGUUGAUCAUCCGUGGUUCUCCGCGGUGCACUCUGCCUGCCCAGGCCAGCAUCAGUUCGCCCCGGGGGAUAAAGGCUUUGGGAAUGUGGCUCCCUCGGGAGUGUUAUAGCCCACUGUGUAAUACCCUGGGGUGGACUGAGGUUCGCGCUCUGCAAGGAUGCUGGCGUAAUGGUCAUCAACGACCCGUCUUGAAACACGGACCAAGGAGUCGUCUUCGUAUGCGAGUGUUCGGGUGUCAAACCCCUACGCGUAAUGAAAGUGAACGUAGGAGAGAGCUUCGGCGCAUCUCCGACCGAUCCUGAUGUUCUCGGAUGGAUUUGAGUAAGAGCAUACGGGGCCGGACCCGAAAGAAGGUGAACUAUGCCUGUAUAGGGUGAAGCCAGAGGAAACUCUGGUGGAGGCUCGCAGCGGUUCUGACGUGCAAAUCGAUCGUCAAAUAUGGGCAUGGGGGCGAAAGACUAAUCG